CACUUUUCUCAACGAUUAUCAAAUUAGGGUUUUCGGCGAAACGAUGCGCACAGCUUUGAAUUUUUUUCCCCAAUCUUCGAUUCUGCCGUAGAUUUCUUUGAUUAGGGUUUUACUGCCGCAUCACUGUUUGAUUCUUCCCGACUUUUACCGAUCUAAGGUCUUGGAAAUCUCAGGGUUUCAUCCACAAGAUCAUCAUUCAAGUGUUCCGCUUGUGAAAGUUCUUCGAAGAGGUUUUAAAGCGAUUGAUUUCUUGGAGCAAAGAAGUCGCUUUUUAGGUUAAGAGUGACUCUAGGAAGGACCUAUUACUUAUGUGUGGGUGUAAAGUGGCAGAUGGAAAUGGUGUUAUGCUGGUUACUGUUGUUAGAGUCAACACUUGAUGGGGUUUGUUGAUGGCCAGUAUCUCUGGAGACAAUGAUAUUUCACAGGUUACACAAAAAACAGAGGUUAAGGCCUUCAAUUUGUUAAAGGGAAGACAAAUAUUGGUCAUGUCGUUGAUGAUGUGAUCAAAGUUGUUACUGUAGCGGUUACAAUUGUCGUAGACUCAUAGUGGCAGUGCCUGACGGUCUUCCAUUAGCUAUCACUUUAACGUGCGGAGGCUAUCUGCUUGCUUGUGAGGCAAUGGGUCCUGCCACCACUAUUUGCGGCGAUAAAACUGGACCACUAACUUUGAAUCAGAGAAGUAGUCAUAUGUGGUCCACUAAUAGGUUGGAUUUCAAGCAAUACUGAUGAAUGCGAAGGAAGCUACAGCAGGUUGAAAUUUACUAGAGGGAACACUGGGGACUAUCGGACAGUAAAUAGAAGGUUUUUAAUGGAGGAUGACGUAUCCUUUUUUCUGGUGUUUUUAGAUGCACCAAGUCUAGUAUUCAUAAAUUGAGCUUACAGGUAAAAGAAGUGAGUUAAAACUCUCAAAUAUUCAUAAAUUGGCUUACAGGUAAAAGUGAGCUUAAAAAAUUGAGCUUACAGAUAAAAGAAGUGAGCUAAAACUCCCAAAUAUUCAUAAAUUGGCUUACAGGUAAAAGUGAGCUUAAAAAAACUCUCAAAUAUUCAUAAAUUGGUUUACAGGUAAAAGAAAUGAGGUAAAACUCCCAAAUAUUCGUACAUUGGGUACAAAAACUAAGAAAAUAUAGUGUUUUAAAGCGCAAAAAUGUGGAAAAAUUGAAUUGUUUUUUUAGCCUUCCUUCCAAACAAAGCACAUAAAUUAUGCUAAGAAGGGAGAGAUGCGUUAAAAGAUGGUAAGGUUAAGUUCACACUAGUAAAAAAGUUUCUAUUGAAGCUGCAACUUGUUUUUCUACCGUAAAAGCAAUCCCUACUAUAAAAGUAACUCUUGCAUGUUCUUUUACAUGAGUUGGACUAUUAAAGAAUCCAAACAAUUAUGUUAUUAUGUUAAGGAAAUUUAAUCGAUCAUUAUCUCUUUAUUUUUUUCAUUUAAAUGGUUUAGAUGUCGGUACACGUCACAUGAUUCCGACACUACUAGAUCAUCGGUGGUUAGGUUUUACAGUCGCUUUUGUAAAUUGUAGGUGCAACUAACCGGAAAUGUAACCGU